rnacentral:rRNA from 1 species
GACGAACGCUGGCGGCGUGCCUAAUACGUGCAAGUCGAACGCUUCUUUUUCCACCGGAGCUUGCUCCACCGGAAAAAGAGGAGUGGCGAACGGGUGAGUAACACGUGGGUAACCUGCCCAUCAGAAGGGGAUAACACUUGGAAACAGGUGCUAAUACCGUAUAACAAUCAAAACCGCAUGGUUUUGAUUUGAAAGGCGCUUUCGGGUGUCGCUGAUGGAUGGACCCGCGGUGCAUUAGCUAGUUGGUGAGGUAACGGCUCACCAAGGCCACGAUGCAUAGCCGACCUGAGAGGGUGAUCGGCCACAUUGGGACUGAGACACGGCCCAAACUCCUACGGGAGGCAGCAGUAGGGAAUCUUCGGCAAUGGACGAAAGUCUGACCGAGCAACGCCGCGUGAGUGAAGAAGGUUUUCGGAUCGUAAAACUCUGUUGUUAGAGAAGAACAAGGAUGAGAGUAACUGUUCAUCCCUUGACGGUAUCUAACCAGAAAGCCACGGCUAACUACGUGCCAGCCCCGCAGUAA